CCUUGUACACACCGCCCGUCACACCAUGGGAGUUGGAUUCACCCGAAGGCGUUGCGCUAACCGCAAGGAGGCAGGCGACCACGGUGGGUUUAGCGACUGGGGUG
rnacentral:rRNA from 1 species